rnacentral:rRNA from 1 species
GAAUAUUGGACAAUGGGCGAAAGCCUGAUCCAGCAAUGCCGCGUGAGUGAUGAAGGCCUUAGGGUUGUAAAGCUCUUUUACCAGGGAUGAUAGUGACAGUACCUGGAGAAUAAGCAUCGGCUAACUCCGUGCCAGCAGCCGCGGUAAGACGGAGGAUGCAAGUGUUAUCCGGAAUCACUGGGCGUAAAGCGUCUGUAGGUGGUCCAAUAAGUCAACUGUUAAAUCUUGAGGCUCAACCUCAAAAUCGCAGUCGAAACUAUUAGACUAGAGUAUAGUAGGGGUAAAGGGAAUUUCCAGUGGAGCGGUGAAAUGCGUAGAGAUUGGAAAGAACACCGAUGGCGAAGGCACUUUACUGGGCUAUUACUGACACUCAGAGACGAAAGCUAGGGUAGCAAAUGGG